rnacentral:tRNA from 1 species
AAUUUUAUUUAUAUGAUAUGUUGCAAGCAUAUUUAAAAAGUUUUUCUUUAAAAUUA